rnacentral:misc_RNA from 1 species
GGUGAGCACUGAACAAUUAAGAACAGCGUAUUACAUUUACUUUCCCCAAGAUAUGCGAAGAGCUUUCCUGAAACAUUAACCGAUCGUAUAAAACGAAUGCCUGAUAGUACUCCUGUCCGGCAUUGUUAUCACAAGUAGACUACGCUUAUCACAGCUUU